GAUCAACGCUGGCGGCGUGCUUAACACAUGCAAGUCGAACGAAGUUUUUCCUUCGGGAGAAACUUAGUGGCGGACGGGUGAGUAACGCGUGGGUAACCUGCCCUGUACAGGGGGACAACAGCUGGAAACGGCUGCUAAUACCGCAUAAGCACUUAGCACUGCAUGGUGCAUAGGGAAAAGGAGCAAUCCGGUACAGGAUGGACCCGCGUCUGAUUAGCCAGUUGGCAGGGUAACGGCCUACCAAAGCGACGAUCAGUAGCCGAUCUGAGAGGAUGUACGGCCACAUUGGGACUGAGGCACGGCCCAGACUCCUACGGGAGGCAGCAGUGGGGAAUAUUGCACAAUGGAGGAAACUCUGAUGCAGCGACGCCGCGUGAGUGAAGAAGUAUUUCGGUAUGUAAAGCUCUAUCAGCAGGGAAGAAAAUGACGGUACCUGACGAAGAAGCACCGGCUAAAUACGUG
rnacentral:rRNA from 1 species